AUGUUUUUUCAGCUUUUUAGCUAUGAUCAAGUACACUAACUGUUCUUAUCAGCUUACUAUUUGAUACAUCCUCUAUCCAAGGACAAUAUAUUAAACCAAUGAAGGUGCACAUACAGCAAAUGGGCACAUGAAAA
ensembl:snRNA U2 U2 spliceosomal RNA